ensembl:snRNA U6 U6 spliceosomal RNA
GUGCUCCUUCGGCAGUACAUAUACUAAAAUUGGAACAAUGCAGAAAAGUUAGCAUGGCCCCUGUGCAAGGAUGACACACAAAUUCUGUAUGAUUUUGUAUCCUGCU